GCACGCCGCGCGGUUGUUGUGAUACAGCCUCCGCCACGUGACUGCGCGGGGCCCGCCUUCCUUGCGCGCGGUGCCUCCUCACGGUGACUCAGCACUUUGUGCGGGCUCGGAGCCGAAGGUCUAACCCAGGGAGGCUGAUUUGGGGCAAAGUCUUGGUGGUUAUUCCUGCCCCCGGGCUGCGGAUGCCUCUAUCGCUGUGGUCACACUUCAGCUACGCCAGGCCUCCAGGCAAGGAGGCUCUGUAGUCCCAUCGUUACCCAUUUCCUCCUCAUCUCGGUUUCUCAGAGAUCAAAUAAGCAAAGCAUAGGGAUAGUGCCCAGGGGUCUCUGAGGAGGGCAUUCCUGGAUUAAGUCACUUGAGGCCACCUACCCCUGCCUUACUGCACUCUUUGGCCUGAGUGUACCUUGUCCCUGAAUUUUUCUCAGGUCUCAACAAAUUACUGUGCACAGCAUACCAGCUUCAUGCCGGACUCUUGGUUUCAUCUGGAAUCCAAAGAGCAGUGCUGGCUGUUCUGGAUUGCUGCGUUUUCUGGAUGAGGCCACCGAGAUACUAAUAAUACUAAGCACAGGUAGUGACCCCUGCGAUCUGAACUCAACUGUAGUUUCAAAGCUUGUGUCUUUCUUUUACUCCACAGAGCCUGGAUGAAGCUGAUGGCCCUUUUCAGUGGAACUCUUACAGGUCUCCAGACCACCUCCAUUAUAGCUCUCCUUUGACACACCAUUUCCUCAAAGCCUGCGAAGUUAGCCUGUGAAGCUUUUCAGAUAGUGACUUUCUUUUAAAUUCUUAGCUGGUAGAAAGUUAUUUCUUAAGAGUGCAUGGUACUAAACUACAAAAGAUAUAAAUUGAAUUAUACUUGGAAUUUGAUCAUAUUCAAGGAGGUUUCCAGGUUCUUUUAAUAGAAGAGCAAUAGAUUUUUAAAAGGGGUUGGGGGG
rnacentral:lncRNA from 1 species